rnacentral:rRNA from 1 species
GAUCUUGAAAUCCUACUUGGAUAACUGUGGUAAUUCUAGAGCUAAUACACGCAAUCAAGCUCCGACCCUCUGGGAACGAGUGCAUUUAUUAGAACAAAACCAAUCGGGCUCCGGCUCGUACGUUGGUGAAUCUGAAUAACUCAGCAGAUCGCACGGUCUUGCACCGGCGACGCAUCUUUCAAGUGUCUGCCUUAUCAACUGUUGAUGGUAGUUUAUGCGACUACCAUGGUUGUAACGGGUAACGGAGAAUAAGGGUUCGACUCCGGAGAGGGAGCCUGAGAAACGGCUACCACAUCCAAGGAAGGCAGCAGGCGCGUAAAUUACCCACUCUCGGCACGAGGAGGUAGUGACGAAAAAUAACGAGAUGGUUCUCAUUGAGGAUCAUUAUCGGAAUGAGUACAAUCCAAACCCUUUAACGAGGAUCUAUCAGAGGGCAAGUCUGGUGCCAGCAGCCGCGGUAAUUCCAGCUCUGAAGGUGUAUACCUACGUUGUUGCGGUUAAAACGCUCGUAGUUGGAUCUACGUUCGUGGGGUUGGUGUUCUCGUAUGAGAUCUACUGA